AUACGAAGGGGGCUAGCGUUGUUCGGAAUUACUGGGCGUAAAGCGCGCGUAGGCGGACUGAUCAGUUGGGGGUGAAAUCCCAGGGCUUAACCCUGGAACUGCCUCCAAUACUGUCAGUCUUGAGUUCGGGAGAGGUGAGUGGAAUUCCUAGUGUAGAGGUGAAAUUCGUAGAUAUUAGGAAGAACACCAGUGGCGAAGGCGGCUCACUGGCCCGAUACUGACGCUGAGGCGCGAAAGCGUGGGGAGCAAACAGGAUUAGAAACCCUAGUAGUCCC
rnacentral:rRNA from 1 species